UACAAAUAAAUUUAUCUGUUUUAUUUAUUUUUAGAGAAGGGGAAGGGAGGGAGAAAGCGAGGGAGAGAAACGCGGAUGUGCGAGAGACACAGGGAUCAGCUGUCCCGCGCACACCCCCAGCUGGGGACCUGCAGGGCCCGCAACCCAGUCGGCCCGGCGACCUGUGGGUGUGCAGACUGGCCCCCAAUCCACUGAGCCAUGCCAGCCAGGGCCAGAAAUACGUUUGAUGACUAAAGUCAAAGUAUGAUAUGAAAUAAAGACCAAGCGAGAUAACA